GGGAGUGGAUGAGCUCCGGUGGGCUCCACGGACUUCAAAUCCGCUGGUGGGCAUUUUUAAUGUCCAUAGUGGUUCGACUCCCUCCACUCCCGC
rnacentral:tRNA from 1 species